rnacentral:rRNA from 1 species
AUACGUAGGGUGCGAGCGUUGUCCGGAAUUACUGGGCGUAAAGAGCUCGUAGGCGGUUUGUCACGUCGUCCGUGAAAACUCGGAGCUUAACUCCGAGCUUGCGGGCGAUACGGGCAGACUUGAGUACUACAGGGGAGACUGGAAUUCCUGGUGUAGCGGUGAAAUGCGCAGAUAUCAGGAGGAACACCGGUGGCGAAGGCGGGUCCCUGGGUAGUAACUGACGCUGAGGAGCGAAAGCAUGGGGAGCAAACAGGAUUAGAUACCCUGGUAGUCCAUGCCGUAAACGGUGGGCGCUAGGUGUGGGGUCCUUCCACGGAUUCCGUGCCGUAGCUAACGCAUUAAGCGCCCCGCCUGGGGAGUACGGCCGCAAGGCUAAA